rnacentral:rRNA from 1 species
AGAGUUUGAUCAUGGCUCAGAUUGAACGCUGGCGGCAGGCCUAACACAUGCAAGUCGAGCGGUAGAGAGAAGCUUGCUUCUCUUGAGAGCGGCGGACGGGUGAGUAAUGCCUAGGAAUCUGCCUGGUAGUGGGGGAUAACGUUCGGAAACGAACGCUAAUACCGCAUACGUCCUACGGGAGAAAGCAGGGGACCUUCGGGCCUUGCGCUAUCAGAUGAGCCUAGGUCGGAUUAGCUAGUUGGUGGGGUAAUGGCUCACCAAGGCGACGAUCCGUAACUGGUCUGAGAGGAUGAUCAGUCACACUGGAACUGAGACACGGUCCAGACUCCUACGGGAGGCAGCAGUGGGGAAUAUUGGACAAUGGGCGAAAGCCUGAUCCAGCCAUGCCGCGUGUGUGAAGAAGGUCUUCGGAUUGUAAAGCACUUUAAGUUGGGAGGAAGGGCCAUUACCUAAUACGUGAUGGUUUUGACGGUUUACCGACAGAGAUAAGCACCGGCUAACUCUGUGCCAGCAGCCGCGGUAAUACAGAGGGUGCAAGCGUUAAUCGGAAUUACUGGGCGUAAAGCGCGCGUAGGUGGUUUGUUAAGUUGGAUGUGAAAUCCCCGGGCUCAACCUGGGAACUGCCAUUCAAAACUGACUGACUAGAGUAUGGUAGAGGGUGGGUGGAAUUUCCUGUGUAGCGGUGAAAUGCGUAGAUAUAGGAAGGAACACCAGUGGGCGGAAAGCGACCACCUGGACUGAUACUGACACUGAGGUGCGAAAGCGUGGGGGAGCAAACAGGAUUAGAUACCCUGGUAGUCCACGCCGUAAACGAUGUCAACUAGCCGUUGGGAGCCUUGAGCUCUUAGUGGCGCAGCUAACGCAUUAAGUUGACCGCCUGGGGAGUACGGCCGCAAGGUUAAAACUCAAAUGAAUUGACGGGGCCCGCACAAGCGGUGGGAGCAUGUGGUUUAAUUCGAAGCAACGCGAAGAACCUUACCAGGCCUUGACAUCCAAUGAACUUUCUAGAGAUAGAUUGGUGCCUUUCCGGAACAUUGGAGACAGGUGCUGCAUGGCUGUUCGUCAGCUCGUGUCGUGAGAUGUUGGGUUAAGUCCCGUAACGAGUGCAACCCCUUGGUCCUUAGUUACCAGCACGUUAUGGUGGGCACUCUAAGGAGACUGCCGGUGACAAACCGGAGGAAGGUGGGGAUGACGUCAAGUCAUCAUGGCCCUUACGGCCUGGGCUACACACGUGCUACAAUGGUCGGUACAGAGGGUUGCCAAGCCGCGAGGUGGAGCUAAUCCCAUAAAACCGAUCGUAGUCCGGAUCGCAGUCUGCAACUCGACUGCGUGAAGUCGGAAUCGCUAGUAAUCGCGAAUCAGAAUGUCGCGGUGAAUACGUUCCCGGGCCUUGUACACACCGCCCGUCACACCAUGGGAGUGGGUUGCACCAGAAGUAGCUAGUCUAACCUUCGGGAGGACGGUUACCACGGUGUGAUUCAUGACUGGGGUGAAGUCGUAACAAGGUAGCC